rnacentral:lncRNA from 1 species
CUCAUGUGCCAUAAAAUUUUAGGCAACUGCAAAGGAUAUGAAGAUUCUCUAGGAUCACGAUGAAACCCCACUCGGCUGCUAUUCAUAAUGGGCCGUUUUGGCGUUGCACGCAUUAUUGCAAGACUCGGUGCCGGGCCAAUUUGGUUACGACAAACCAGAGCAAGAAAAUAUCCACCGGCAGUCCGGUGCAUAGCCACAUUGCUGAUUAUCCCGAAUUGAUCGAGGGAAUAUAGUUGUGCGGGGCCAAGUUCACGCCAAACUACUAACAGGUUAUCCAUCUGGACAUCACUGGCGAAGCAUUUUUUGAAGACAACAACUUAAAACCGAAGAUUCGACGAUGACAGUUACAAUACUCUUUAAUUUUUUUUUUUGAUUGUUUUAAAUUGCCAAUUAAUAAAGUGAACUGUGAUAUCUA